CGGCGGACGGCUGAGUAACACGUAGGAACGUACCCCAAACUGAGGGGAUAAGCACCAGAAAUGGUGUCUAAUACCGCAUGUGCUCCAAGGAGUGAAGCUUCGGCGGUUUGGGAACGGCCUGCGUAUGAUUAGAUUGUUGGUGAGGUAAUGGCUCACCAAGUCGACGAUCAUUAGCUGGUCUGAGAGGAUGACUAGCCAGACUGGAACUGAGAACGGUCCAG
rnacentral:rRNA from 1 species